rnacentral:rRNA from 1 species
UCCUACGGGUGGCAGCAGUGAGGAAUAUUGGUCAAUGGGCGCAAGCCUGAACCAGCCAUCCCGCGUGCAGGAAGACGGCGCUAUGCGUUGUAAACUGCUUUUCCAGGGGGAGAAACUUCCGUACGUGUACGGAAUUGACGGUACCCUGGGAAUAAGCAUCGGCUAACUCCGUGCCAGCAGCCGCGGUAAUACGGAGGAUGCAAGCGUUAUCCGGAUUCAUUGGGUUUAAAGGGUGCGUAGGCGGACUAUUAAGUCAGUGGUGAAAUCCUGCAGCUUAACUGCAGAACUGCCAUUGAUACUGAUGGUCUUGAGUUUGGUUAAGGUAGGCGGAAUGUGUAAUGUAGCGGUGAAAUGCUUAGAUAUUACACAGAACACCAAUUGCGUAGGCAGCUUACUGAGCCGACACUGACGCUGAGGCACGAAAGCGUGGGGAUCGAACAGGAUUAGAUACCCUUGUAGUC